UGGAAUCUAGAUGAUGCCUACACACAGGCUACAAUGAGUAAGAAAAUGAUGAACAAGUAGAAGAGAAGAAUAGGAUGAUGAUUGGACAAGAUCGUACCUUGUGAAUACAACCAUGUGCCACACCCCCUAUAGAAUGGGAUGGGGCCAUGCACCACACCCCAUAGGGAGAGGGUACACAUCAUUGGCCAUUCUACAUCUAUGCGGUGAACCCACUAGGCUAUGCUAUUGGCUAUGUGACGCACGCCCCCUCCCCCCCAAAAAAAAUUGCCUAAAAUUAUUUUUUCUUGGAUAUAUGGCGCACGCCUCCC
rnacentral:lncRNA from 1 species